UGCCUGCCGGCGAGAACCGCCUUGCCUUGGCGACGAGAGCCGAAGAUGGAUACGGAGGAGUCAUUGGAGGAACAUGGGAGGAGAGGAGGGAGCCGGAGCACUCAACGCCUCCCACUCCCACAGCUGAGGCGGCGGCGGUAGGAAGCGUUGCGAGUGCUCUCCCUGAUUGGAGCACAAUUUCCUCUCCCUCAUUGGAGCAUGUCAGUAUUUGUGCAUGUUCUUCCCUGGAGAUUCGAUCUGGAUGAGGUGAGCGAGAAUGUCAGGGAAGGGAAGGCCUCUAACGAUGCUCCAGGACCGUCUUGCCACGUCCACCGUGGAAGGGGCCAGAGACGACGACUAGGACUUCUCCCCAGCAACGACAGUGCCCUUUUCCAGGGAUACCAUGUACAUGUAUGAAGACGAGGACUUGCAACUCGGAUUCGAGCAUGUCGGUGGUGAAGCCAGAUGGCAAAGAGGGCGACGAUCAUACUACUCAUCCUCUUCCAGAAAUUGAAGCUGACCUUUCGAGAAAGGCUCCCUUCAGUUCUAUGAUCCAGGGAUUCCGGUACAUGUCAAUAGAGAAUCUGAAGCUAUAACUCUUAUGAAGGCUCAUGUAUGGUGUAAGUGCUUAGGCAAUCUGUUAUCUUCUUUUACCACAUAAACAGUAUUUCAACAUUUCAUAUAUCUCUGUGCUGCCUCUUUAUCUUGGAGCUUUUGUGGGAUCCGAUGAAUAUUUGUAAGCUGCUCCUCUGUGAAUGGGCAGUUAGUAUAAUUCUAUUACUCAGUUGUUAA